rnacentral:sRNA from 1 species
GGGUGUGGGAAUUUCUGCAUUUCCUCAAGAGGCUGUGUAGCAAAAUGAUUCAGUGUGCUGGCUCUGGAGCCUGACUGCCUGGGUUCAAGGCCAGACUCUGCCAUUUAGUAGCUGUGUGACAUUAGCCAAGUUACAUGGCCUCUCCAAGCCCCAGUUUCCUUACCUAAAAAGUGGAAAUGAUAGUAAUACCUGUUAACUGGUUGCUAUGGAAAUUGGCUCACCUGGCAAAGUGAGCACUGUGUGUUUCUGCUCUGACUCCUUCCUGGAAAUUUUCCCUCUCCUAGAAACUGCCAUUCACCAUCCCUGAGCUGGUUCAUGCCUCUCCCUGCCGCAGCUCUGAUGGGGUCUUCUACACAGGCCGGAAGCAGGAUGCCUGGUUUGUGGUGGACCCUGAGUCAGGGGAGACCCAGAU